rnacentral:rRNA from 1 species
AUGAACGCUGGCGGCGUGCCUAAUACAUGCAAGUCGAGCGAACAGACGAGGAGCUUGCUCCUCUGACGUUAGCGGCGGACGGGUGAGUAACACGUGGAUAACCUACCUAUAAGACUGGGAUAACUUCGGGAAACCGGAGCUAAUACCGGAUAAUAUAUUGAACCGCAUGGUUCAAUAGUGAAAGACGGUUUUGCUGUCACUUAUAGAUGGAUCCGCGCCGCAUUAGCUAGUUGGUAAGGUAACGGCUUACCAAGGCAACGAUGCGUAGCCGACCUGAGAGGGUGAUCGGCCACACUGGAACUGAGACACGGUCCAGACUCCUACGGGAGGCAGCAGUAGGGAAUCUUCCGCAAAGGGCGAAAGCUUGACGGAGCAACGCCGCGCGAGUGAUGAAGGUCUUCGGAUCGUAAAACUCUGUUAUUAGGGAAGAACAAAUGUGUAAGUAACUAUGCACGUCUUGACGGUACCUAAUCAGAAAGCCACGGCUAACUACGUG